CGCCCCGCAGGUGCCGUCUGCACUCGGGAGGGCCGGCGGUGGGCUGAAUCGCGGCGGGCCUCAAACAGCCGGGCGGACUGCGAGCGAGGCAGACGGCCAAGUCUUCACUCGUAACGAGACGCAUCAGAAAGCUUUCACAGCUCCUCGCCACGCCGGGAACCGACUCCCACGACAAGUGCGAACCGCGGGGAUCAGAGAGUGAGUCACCGACUCGCUGCGGCGUCUUCGGACAGUCCGUCGGAAAAUGCUCAACGCUAUAAUCCACACCGAACCACCAACCAGAACCUGCUUCGGUUCCUCCUCGCUCAUCCUGGGCCGCUUGGCAGAAGGCGACGACGCCCCAUCUGAGCCUUCAUCAGGGGGUGAAGCUGGAGCCCGUUGAGGAGGCUCGCUGUCCGCCUCCGAGUCCUGCACCGCACCCACCGCACCCCCGCUCUCGCCCCCUCCAGCCGAGUCCGACAUCUCCCUCCGGCUUGACGGAUCCCCCCCGGUUCUCCGGCUCCUCGCGUCCCGGGGUUGGCUGUCAGACGUGGGUGAGGUAGGUGCUGCUGGGAUAGUGCUUCCUCCUGCAGUGUGGGUGUCUGAGUCUGCUGGGGUACGAGGACAUCACAGCAUCCACCAGCCUGCAGAAACGAGGGAGUCUGGACUCGGAGGCUUGUCGGAACAAAGCAGCGACAUUUGCAGAAGUCUGCUUUAACACCUGUAGCUAGUCGUGACAUGCUGCCACUUCCAACUAUUCAUGUCAAUUUAAUCCCAAUUACCCCCACAACUCAUUAUUUAUUGCCUUCACACAUAUAAAUAAUGUGAAAAUGAAGAUAACCUCUUGAUUUAGAGCAUUUUGGCUUCUUUACAGCGCCUUUUCAAACAUUAGCAUUAGCCCGUGCUAACACUCUGAAGCUACGUAUCCGUCUCACCUCUCGCUUGGCGCGUCGGUUUUGCUCGCAGUUUGGCCGCAAACACGUCUCUCUCUGUUGGCGUCGAGGCUCGACCCAGAGCCGGAUUAAGCAUAAAAAAGAAAAAAGGGGGACGCGGCUCCGCUUCAAGCACUUCGUGUUUCUUCUCACCAGCUCGUUAAAAGAAGUUGUAAACACUGAAGGCGGCCAUGUGUUUCCAAGUAUCGCGAGAGUUCCUGUUCCCGGCGAGAAGUGAACUCCCUGCUUGUUUUUUUUUUUUUAUUUAAUUGAAUUUUAUUUAACAUUCAUUCAUAAAUGUAAGUCUCAUUUUGAAAAACCUGCUAAAAAAAAUAAAAAAAAUAUUAAAUAGAAAAAUUAUAAUUACCAAGAAAAAAGUGAGAAAGCAUGUGAAGAGCAUAUAUAUUGUCUGUUUUGUCAAUAUAAGUAUGGAAGUGGGUAUUAAGUGUACAGCUCUCCUUUAAGGUUCAAAACUUGUCAAAAUGUUAUUCAGGGAGAGUCGAGGAUCAUGAAACACAUUUUAGUUCAGUCACCACAUACAGUUCAAUUAAAGCUUUGUGUGAAAUUUAACUUAUGUUGUACAAGUUAGUUGUGUUUCUUUCCACUCAGACGCCAUAAAAUAAGUCCACUGACAAACACCAAGCCAGUCACAGCUAAAUGCUAUUUAUUCAGUAUUUAUUUUGUUCUUCAAACAAAAGCCAAACUAUUUACACGUCUUUCUGUUGUUCUUUUCCAAAACAGUUUCUUUUACAUGUAUGCUGUCAUUUCAACAACAUUCAAAAACUUAUGAAGCGCGGGAGCUGGGCUGAUCGGCGGGUCUCACUGGGAUGUGGUCGGAUACGCAGCUACACGGGAGUCGAAUAAGCUCCUCGAUAUCUUGAAGUCAACAGGAAAAGAUCAUCUCAAACAGCUGCAGCCGGUCAUCGAGGACUUUCUGUCUUUACGUAGACGCGAUAACAUAUUUGUAUGUUUCAGGAUGAUUUCUCUGCUUCGGCGAUGCAACGAUUGAGCAAAAAAAAUACAGUAUCUCUUCCACGGUUACAGUGGCUCCACGCCAAAACCUCAACGUGUCUUCAAUGGAUCACGCGUCGGACGCCAUCGAAGUUUUAAAAACUGCACACGGUUUAGCUUUCAUUGAUACAAUGGUUGGCUAAAAAAUGUAAAUCUCUGGAAUCCUAUUAUAGAGACACACAGAGCAAAGACACUGGCUUCUCUUCAGGUACUGACGAUCAGAAGGACCCCAACCUUCAGGUUCAGGCGUCACAACUCUCAAGACCAUACAAGCAUGCUGCUACAAAAACCUCUUUUUAGACAAGCUGUCAUCUCAAAAAACUAAAUAAUAAGUACUUUGUGUCUUACUAACUCUGAAGUCUACUGGAGUGUUAAAAUAUCACGCCAAGUUUGACCCCGAUGCUCCGCUUCGUAUCCGACCUUUCCCCCACAGCAACAAGUUUCGGAACCCUUCCCGAUCAGCUCAGCCCCCGACGGUACAGACCGCAGCCCUUUUAUUAAGCCUGCACCUUCAGCUAGAAUGGAAAUAUGAGAUCUGAACAAAACCAACUCCUCAUUUGAAUGAAAACAA